GACGAACGCUGGCGGCGUGCUUAACACAUGCAAGUCGAACGCUGAAGCUCAGCUUGCUGGGUGGAUGAGUGGCGAACGGGUGAGUAACACGUGAGUAACCUGCCCUCUUCUUUGGGAUAACGCCCGGAAACGGGUGCUAAUACCGGAUAUUCACUGAUUCUCGCAUGGGGGUUGGUGGAAAGGUUUUUUCUGGUGGGGGAUGGGCUCGCGGCCUAUCAGCUUGUUGGUGGGGUGAUGGCCUACCAAGGCUUUGACGGGUAGCCGGCCUGAGAGGGUGACCGGUCACAUUGGGACUGAGAUACGGCCCAGACUCCUACGGGAGGCAGCAGUGGGGAAUAUUGCACAAUGGGCGAAAGCCUGAUGCAGCGACGCCGCGUGAGGGAUGGAGGCCUUCGGGUUGUAAACCUCUUUCGCUCAUGGUCAAGCCGCAGCUUUGGGUUGUGGUGAGGGUAGUGGGUAAAGAAGCGCCGGCUAACUACGUG
rnacentral:rRNA from 1 species